rnacentral:tRNA from 2 species
GAGUUGGUAGCCAAAUGGUAAGGCGGAAGUCUGCAAAACUUCUAUGCGUGGGUUCGAUUCCCACUCAACUCU